GGAGAGGUGACAGAGUGGCCGAAUGUGCCGGUCUCGAAAACCGGUGUGCCGCAAGGUACCGGGGGUUCGAAUCCCCCUCUCUCCGCC
rnacentral:tRNA from 2 species